AUGGAGCUGUGCAACGAUUUAGAAGGUGAUGCCACAAUGCCAGACUCGUCUGCAAGGACUGAAACUUUGUGCAAAGCAUCUCAAGACCAAGAGUUCAAGCACCACAACCCUCGGGCUGGUUUAGUGCAACCUCAUCGGCACACUAUCUCAACAACCACAACCAGUUUGCCUCCUAAAGGCUCUGAAAUCGUUUCUCCAGACACGACCGUUGCGUCACUGAAAUUUCCUAGAAUAAAAGAAGAGGCACCCACUCCCUCUGUAGACGUGUGUAAAUCUGCACCUAAAGCGCCUAAACCCUCCUCCACCUGUGCUGCUACCGUCUCGGAUGCAUCACCCCAGUCUGCCUCCAUGACAAAUAAAAGUGCAUCCAAGGUGAAAUCGGCCUCUGGCGCUGCUGCUGCAAAUGUUGGCAGCAGAAAUGGUCCCAGAAGUGCGGAAGCAUCUAAAGGUUCAGCUGCAGCUUCCGUGCCUGCUGCUAACGUGGCUAAACCUGUUGAUGACUACCCCUCUGCUAAGACUUCUCAUGUGAACAAAUCAGAGGGAGAACAUGCAAAUGCGUACAAGAGGAACUCGCCUACGGCUCUUAGCCCAAAGGCCACCUUGCUUUCCAGCUCGGAACACAAGAAUCGACACAAAGACCCCCCACACGUGUCUGCAACCAGCAAGACACCAGCCGGAAACCUCGCUAAAGUUGGGGUGGAUGAGCUGAUUGUUGUGACGUGCGAAGGAAAGCAGCAGGUCUACUGUCGGCUGUGUUCAGUGAAGUUAAACUCAUCCAGUCAGUAUCACCUGACCAGCAUUAACCACCAGCUUAAAUACGUGAAAACGAAGUUCCCCAAAUGGGUCGCAAAGGAGUCUGAACUGGAGGAGAAACUAAGCCAUACGGUGGCCCUGUUGGCCAAAAUUGAGAAAGGCUUGCCACAAAUUCCGAACCCUCAGAAAUUGGAAGUCAGUAAACAAGAGUACUUAAACCUGGGACGUCUGUCAGACAAGAAAGCUGUGGAGAAAGUGAUGGAGAUGGGCAAACUGAAGAAGUCGCAUGACUCGUGUCCCACCGCUGAUGCUUCAGGGCCUCUGAAGCCGGAAAUCUGCAGCCCGUGUGAAGUUUCGAGCUCCGACGACGGUAAAUUUAAAGGCUAUUAA
rnacentral:lncRNA from 1 species